rnacentral:SRP_RNA from 1 species
GUUAGGCCAUGAGGCAAAGUUACUCUUAUGAAUCGUGUCAGGAUCGGAAGAUAGCAGCACUAAGUAUGUAGUAACUUGUGCCUCAUGUUUUUUAUGC